GACGAACGCUGGCGGCGUGCUUAACACAUGCAAGUCGAACGGAAAGGCCCUGCUUUUGUGGGGUGCUCGAGUGGCCAACGGGUGAGUAACACGUGAGUAACCUGCCCUUGACUUUGGGAUAACUUCAGGAAACUGGGGCUAAUACCGGAUAGGAGCUCCUGCUGCAUGGUGGGGGUUGGAAAGUUUCGGCGGUUGGGGAUGGACUCGCGGCUUAUCAGCUUGUUGGUGGGGUAGUGGCUUACCAAGGCUUUGACGGGUAGCCGGCCUGAGAGGGUGACCGGCCACAUUGGGACUGAGAUACGGCCCAGACUCCUACGGGAGGCAGCAGUGGGGAAUAUUGCACAAUGGGCGGAAGCCUGAUGCAGCAACGCCGCGUGCGGGAUGACGGCCUUCGGGUUGUAAACCGCUUUCGCCUGUGACGAAGCGUGAGUGACGGUAAUGGGUAAAGAAGCACCGGCUAACUACGUG
rnacentral:rRNA from 1 species